ensembl:lncRNA
AUUUCCAGCAGACACCUUGAUGCCAUUACUUGAAGAUGAUGCCAGAGAGGGGACUUCAAGCACAAUUGAUCUCUUGCCUCAUGGUUCCAGGACUACAGAACAAAGCACCAGUCCCACUGGUGUAGUCAAUGACAUGGCCGGACCAUAACCUGCAUCUUUAGCUUCUGUUUGAUGUUAAUUGCUUGUAAUCAUGCUGAUUAAUACACUCAAAUACAUAGUAAUCAGGCUCUAUACAUUUUUAAUAUCACACUGAAAUGUAUUUGACUGUUUAAUGUUUAUGUUUUUUGUUUGUGUAUUUAUUUUAUAUUUCAUAAAAUGGAAGCGAAUCAUGAACGCUUCAAGUACAGCAACACUGUUCAGAAGAGUUAUCUUGAGGGAGCAAAAGCUGGAGAUACCUCUUCGCUUCUCAAUGGACCUACAUUCUGAUGUUGAAGAGAGAGAUAAGGCAGUAAUAGCAUUCUACAAGACUCAGAGAACUAAAUGGCCCUCCCCACUUCACUGUGUGCUGGAAGGUGAUGCUGCCAUCGGUGAUGGUGUAAGUCGGUAUUUCAUCAGCUUUGCUAUGCAGACCUUGCAGUCUGGAUUCCACAUCAAUUUUGGCAAUGCUGAUGUGACUAGGCUGUUUGAGGGACAGAAGGAUCACCUCAUCCCAUGUGCCUCCCAGCCACUCAUUGAUUCUGACCUUUUUCUGAUGGCAGGUAGAAUGGUGGGACAUUCAUUUAUACAUGGUAGCCCGGGAUUGCCAGGGAUCAGUCCUGCUGUAGUCCAUGUGCUCUUAGGGGGCCAAUUAGAGAUAGCAACAUUGGUAUUGGAGGAUUGCCCUGAUAUCGAUCGAAGGAACACAAACCAGUUGCUGGAUGGCAACGGGGAGCUAUCUGUCUACAGGGAGCUAGAAAGCGGCUGUCAAUAGCCUAGCCGACAUGUGGGAAUUGCCACGACUGCCUAAUCUGAACAGACAAUAUCUUCAUCAGAGGCUGUUGCAGCAUGCGGUAAUGACAUUAGUUCACAUAACCUAAUACUUUUAUAUCAUCGUACUGAAUCUGACACCAUCUUUUGUCUUGCUUAUGAUACACGACUCAGCUGUUUUUCAUAAGUCAGUAGUUUUUGUCCACUGGGAAGCGGGACACUAUACCUACCUAUAGCUUAUAUAAAAGGGGUGAUGGUUCAGCCUGUUCACCCUGCUGCCUUCUGGGAAGAGAUAUAGAAGUUUCAGCUACCACACCACCAGCUUUUCCCCCCAAGCUGAUUCAGACUUUUAAGCUCAAAUUCAUCCUCAGCACUGCUCCAUUGAUUAUAGAUUAUUUCUGUUUACCAUUUUCAUAAUUGCUUUCAUAUUACUGUAUAUUGUCUGCUACAUAGCAGAAGGGAGUUACAGACUCAAUUUCACUUUACAACCUGUUGUAAAGUGACAAAUAAAUACCUUGUACUAUACA